AGGAAGCCAGUACAUCUCUCUGCUUUGGGAAGCAAAUCCACUGGUGACUACAUCUUCAAGGCUCCAGCUCCUCUGAAGUUCCAGUUUCACUGGGUAGUCUUAGCUCCUGGAUUCUGAUGUAACCCUACAUGUCCUGGAGACCACCUUUGCCACCAUGUGUGGAUAGCCUGCAUGAAAGCGAUGUCAACAUUAUGCAAACCCAAAGCUGAGGGCCAGAGAACAAAAGAAGUCAGAUGAUAUGGCUAUCACUAAGGCCCUGGAUCCAGCUGUGCCUGAUCCACAUUCUGGAUUUCUCAUUUGUAUAACUUUUUGUGUAAGCCAGUUUGAGUUGUGAAAGACUUUGACAAACUCCAGAAAUCCAAAGCAAGAGGCAUUACAACUACAGACUUCCUCAUGUCUGUUUGGAGAUGCUCAUGGAGUGUCUUUGAUUCCUCACCCGUAAAAUGGAGUACUUACUGUCUCCUCAGGACGGCUGCUUACUGUCUGCUUCACAGACUGAGUGAGUUGCUCUUAUUCUGGGUUUCAAUAAAAUUCUUGUGUAGUUCUA